GCGCCAAGUCGGGCACCAGGUCGGGGCGGCUGGCGGAUGGAGAGCUGCGUCCAAGGAGGCGGCUCGGGGGUGGACGCAGCGCAGGGACGCGGCCCGGGCCUGCUGACCUCAGAGUCCCGCGGGGGAUACGCUCCAGCCCGGCCCCCCAGGCUCUCCUCCUCCGUGGGUGCAAGUGUGGCCCCGGGGCCGGGCGCAAUGAGUUUUUCUGGAGUGAGGGUCUGCGAGGACCCGUCCUCCGACUGUUAGUGAUUAGGACGGAGGGGCGCUUGCUAGUGUCGUUUUUGUUUUGUUUCGUUCACUUUGGCAAGAAGACGAUUAUGCUGUUUUCUAUUUGAGAAGUGGACAGCCAACGCCACUUAAAACUUGGGAGUGAAAAUUUGACUUUGGCAGUUGCGAUGACGACUAACGAAAUCUUUCCAUCUUCCUUCUUUCAUGGAGUGAACCUCGAAAUGCUUCUAACACACUCGGCCUGUGGGACUCGGUACUUAUUUGAGACGAUGGUGAUGCUCUAGUGUGAACACCGGGGGGCGCUGUUUGCCGAGGCCGCUCCGAGUCCUCGGGUUCCCUGCAGAAGUCGGGGGCGGCGCGCUGAGACUCAGACGCGCGCGGGUGGGGUGAGGGCGUCUCAGCCGAGGAGGACCGGCCUUGCGCAACUCCUGCCUUGCUCCGUGUUUCCUGCCCCGCAAAUCGGAGCUCUGCCCACCGUUACUGCCCACCCCCUCCCAAGCUUUUUACAGUACCUCUCCCGCCCCCUUUCCCUCCAAGUCCUUACGCAGCUUUAUUUUCUCACCACUCCAAUAGAGUUACGCUGCUUAUUCUCCGUGCAGUAUCCCUCUCUGGAAAGUAAGGGGCAUGAGGAAGGGACUGUUUCUGUUUUGCUCCUCACUCGGCCUGGUGAAGUCUCCAGCACAUAAUAGUUGCUCAAGAAAGCUUUGAGUCAGGACACAGUGGAUGAAUUCACCAUCCCGGUGAGGCCAGAAGGGAUUUCGGGCAAACGUCACCACCAACCCUGCUCCACACCUCGCUCCUCUGGUAGUUUAAAUUUCCCUAGGGAGGGGGACCGUCUUUUAAGCUAAUUUUGUAUCCCCCAGCUCACUAGACCUUUCUGGGCGGCUCCCUCAUUCAGUAAACCUGUGGACGUAAGCCCAUGAGGGCGCGGCUUUUUGUGCCUUUCUCUGGUGUCUCCCAAGUGCCUAGAACUGGAACUCAGUCCCCGCUUGAUCAGUGUGUGUUUGAAUAAACGUGUUGGUUUGCUGAAAGCUGUCCCCACUUGAAACACCGGUGUUUUCUGAGCAGGAUUUGAGGGGCAGUGCUGAUCGCAGCACCUAGCCCGCUGCCUGGCACGUGACGGAAUUCACUCAGCAAGUUUGUUUAAAAAAAAUUUUUUUAAUUGUCCAACACUUUGAAAAACUAAAUUUAACCAGGAGAAUAUCUCCAUAUCAAAUUUCAACCACUCCUAUAAAACGCCUUGAAGACUGAUUCCUUUUCAGGAAGUAGGACUGAGGAAGAAGUUAAAAGGUUAAAAGUCUGUUUAAACUAGCCACUCUCAUCCCGAGUGCAGUGUUUUUUCUGCCUGCAUUUAAACCACUGACCUAACAGGGUAAUCCUUUUACCGAUUGCUUAGAUGAAAGGUGCCCAAGGCCAAGAAAAUUAUGUAGUUCCUUUUUUCUUUUAAUUAAUUUAUUUAUUUUUGGUUGCUUUGGGUCUUCAUUGCUUCAUAUCUCUAGUUGUGGCAAGCAGGGCCUACUCUUCGUUGCGGUGCGGUGCGCGGGCUUCUCAUUGCAGUGGCUUCUAACGUUGCGGAGCAUGGGCUCUAAGGCACGUGGGCUUCAGUAGUUGUGGCUCGUGGGCUCAGUAGUUGUGGCGCGCGGAUUGGCAGGUGGAUUCUUAACCACUGCACCACCAGGGAAGUCCCUGUAGUUCCUUUUUAAGUAGAUGCAAACUGAACAAUUCUGGGACUGUCCACAGUUACAAUAAAGGAAAUAAGCAAAUGUGGUCGCUUCUGUUGGAUUUUGCAAAGUGGCUUGGGAGUUUUUAGGUACUUUGUUGUGGAGCAAUUCUAUCUUUUAAAGUACUUUCCUCUUAAACAAACAAACAAGCAAACCCUGGCUAUAUGUACAUGUCUUUGUUCAGCAGAUAGGAGUUGAGAAGCUAAGCUCUAAGCCCUGACCUAGGGCUAGAGCAGUAAGAAAGACAGCCAACAAAAUAAACAAGCAAAAUAUAUAGUGUCCUAGACAGUUAUUAAAUGUUUGAUGGAGAAAAACUGAGCAGGGAAGGUGGAUAGAGAGCGAGGCCUGGGGAUGGAUGCAGGGGUUCAGUUUUGAACAGGAUGUCUGCAAAGGUGAAGUUUCUGGAGCAUUAGAAUGAGGUUAGGAGUUAAACAUGCAGUUAUCUGGAAGAGGAAGGGUUCCGGUACAGAGAGCAGUGAGUGCAAAGGCCCUGAGGCAGAAGCCUUCCUGGUGGGCUCCAUGGGAGUACAGAGCAGGGAACAGAGCAGGUGAGCUGGACACCAGGCCCAUGAGGAAGGGGGGCGAGUGGCCAGAGAAGGUCAUUGGGACCUGUGGUCGUGAUGAGGGCUGUGGCUUGUACUCUGAACCAGGUGGAAGGGUGCCCGAGGCCCCUGAGCAGAGAAGAGACAUGAUGUGUCCUAACACCUUCCUGCUGUGUUGAGGUGGCCAUGGCAGGUGCAGGGACAUCAGGGAGAGACAGUGGUGGCUGGGAUCAGCGUGGCGGCAGAGGAGUGAUCAGCACUGUUUACAUUCUGGAUGUAUUUUGCAGGUGGAACGUACAGUAUUUGGUGUGGAUUAGACGUGGAAUAAAAAGGGUAGGAGGGGAUGGGAAGGGAGAGGGAAAAGAAGGAGGAGACGGAGGGAGGGAAAGAGAGAGGAGCCAGGAGCUAGCAUCUGGACAGGUGGGUACCACAUCCAUCUUGCUCAGGUCUAGAGGAGCAGCCGUCCAUCACUAGAGCGAGACUUCCCGACCUCAGCACACUGACGUGUUGGACCUGAUAAUUCAGUGGUGGCAGGUGUCCAAUGGAUGUUCAGCAUUGCCCCCUGGCCUCUACCUACUAGACAGGAGGAGUGACACCAUCACGUCCCCCAUUGUGACAACCAAUCAAUGUCUCCAGGCAUUGCCGAGUGUUCCCUGGGCCAAAAUUGCCUUCAAUUUAGAACUGCUGCUCUAGAAUAAUACUGAUGCACUUUAGGAUUCAUCAUUAAAUGUCUUAGAGGGCUUCCCUGGUGGCGUCGUGGUUAAGAAUCUGCCUGCCAAUUCAAGGGACGUGGGUUCGAGCCCUGGUCCUGGAAGAUCCCACAUGCUGCGGAGCAACUAAGCCUGUGCGCCACAACUACUGAGCCUGCGCUCUAGAGCCCGUGAGCCACAGCUACUGAAGCCUGCGUGCCACAACUACUGAAGCCCAUGCGCCUAGAGCCCGUGCUCCACAACAAGAGAAGCCACUGCAGUGAGAAGCCCACGCACCACAACGAAGAGUAGCCCCCGCUCGCCGCAACUAGAGAAAGCCCGUGCGCAGCAACGAAAGCCCAAUACAGCCAAAAAUAAUAAAGUAACUAAAUAAAUUAAUUAAUUUUUAAAAAAAUAAAUAAAAUAGAUGUCUUAGAAGUGAACAUCACUCACUAAUUAUUUUGAAACAUAUCUAAUGAGAUUUUAUAAAUAUCGUGGAAAUCUCCUCUUUGUCCCACAUGAAAUAGUGACUACUAUUUAUUAGUCACCUACUACGUAUUGGGUUCAUUACCUAUAAAUCUCUCAGAGUGUUAGGAACUUUCUCAGAGUCACACAGCUGGCUCUUGGCAAAGGGCAUGUGUCUAAUCUUGAGGUCUUACCCUGUGCCGUGCCACCUGGGCCAUGUCCCCAACAUUUACAUCCAUAAAAUACUGAUUCCCCUCCCUUUAGUUCACAUCUGCAGAACGCACAUCUACUUAAGAACAAAAGUGAUUCAUAUAGAAGCUGUUGUCCUCGAAAUGGUCCACCAGCGGCUGAAGAUGCCCCCCUCAGGGUGGAUAGAGCAGGUUGGGCUGUUAUGUCCUAACAGUAUGUAUCCUAAUAUAUAUAUAUAUAUAUAUAUAUAUAUAUAUAUAUAUAUAUACACUCUUUUUCAGAUUUUUUUCCAUUAUAGGUUAUUACAAGAUAUUGGAAAAAAAAAAAAAUGGAAUUCCCUGGCCGCCCAGUGGUUAGGACUUGGUGCUUUCACUGCCGUGGCCCGGGUUCAAUCCCUGGUCGGGGAACUAAGACCCCACAAGCCUCGAAGCAAGGCCAGAAAAAAAAAUUAAGAUAUUGAAUAUAGUUUCCUGUGCUUCAAUAAAUUUAAAAAAUUAUAUUUUGUUUAUAUAUAUAAUUGAAACACUUUGCUGUACACCUGAAUCUAACACAACGUUGUAAAUCAACUAUAUACUUCAAUUUAAAAAAAGAGAGAGAAAUUAGGCAAAAAAAAUCUAUUGGUCAUUAGUGGUUUUUCUUUGGUUAGUUGCCUAUUUAUAACUCGGGUCCAUUUUUCAGUUAGGGUGCUACUAUAGUUUUGACAGUCUUCAAAAUUAAAAAUUGGGGGUCAUAUGUGUAUUAUAUGUAAAUAAAUUUCAAAUAUAUAUAAAUACAAAACAUACGUAAAUUAUAAACAUAUGUAAAUAAGUUUCUAUGAUAUAUACAAAGCUUAUAUGUAUAUAUUUGUUUACAUAACUAUGUCAACCUUGUUAUGGUGAUUUUUUUUUUAACAUGCAAAUAUUAUUUUUUAUUUGUAAGUAACCAAAUCUACCAACUUCUCUUGCAUAGUUUCUGGCCAUUUCAAUAACCAUCUGAUCCACUAGAUUUCCUGCUAAAGGCCUGGUGUCAGCUGAGUGAAAGGAAAGAGCAUGAGAAGAGCUAGAUCUGAAAUCCAGAUUGGCCACUUUUUAAGUAAGCAACUCUGGGCAAAUAUUUCCUAAUCGUCAUGCACUUUGGUUUCCUCAUCUAUCGAAUGUGGACGAUACUGUCCCUCUCGGUGUUGUUGUGACAUGUGAUCCUCUACACAGCGGGUGCACAGUAAAUGUCAGGUCCCUCAACCCCUCCUCUGUGGGACCCCCCUCAAUUCAACUAGCACCCCGUUGGCCAGCACCACCCACAGUCAACAGGAUGAAUCAGGCCCUUGGGGACUCCAACCUUACCCCAGCUUGGGCGGGAAAUAGUGGGUAUUUAUCGAGUCUGUUUCACUUUUCAUUUUCCAACACCCACCCCACUCCAGAGUUUCUGCUCUUCUUUCUCUUAGAAUUCCCUUCAUCCUCUUCCCUUCCCAGAAGUCAAGUUGAUGAUCUGAGGGCCGGAUCCCCAGCUGUGCUCCCAGGGCUGCACCUGCUGGAAGGCUCACACCCCAACAUUCCAGGCUUCGGAAUCUGGACCCUUGGCAGGGCUGCUGGGGGAACCAAACUUACAGAAAGACUGUUAGGCUGAAACAUCUACACCCAGAUUGCGGGGAGAGGGGUACCUAAUGGGGAACAUUGAAAAAUUCCUUCAAAUGCUUGAUAAGAGUAAAACAAGAUAUCCAAAGCUGUCAUGAUCAAAUAGCUGCUAUACCGGCUGGUAGUUUAUAUCAACAACCUGCCAGACCACUUCUUAGAUUUCAGAAAAUAUUUCCAUCUAAUUCAACACUGUCGCUUUCUAACAGCUCAUUUUCCACUUAUCGUAAAGAUUAUCCUAAAACUGCAAAGCAAAUUGAAUGGAAUUUUAUAGAAAUGGGAGUCAAAUCAAGACAAACUCCCCAAAUGGUAGAUUUCUGAUGAAAAGAGAAUCUUGUAAAAUAUAAAGUGUGUGGUGGCCGUCAGUACAGAGGGGAGAUCACAGAUUCCGUCUUCCGCACCAUCUGCCCGUCUUCCGCCCUCUGCAUAGACACUGCUAUCCCUGCCCUCGAUCACACACGCUUCAGGGAAAUGUCAGGAUUAUUCCUGCCCGCAAAUCACGUGACUGGUCCAGGAUCAGCGCUACAGCAUCUUCCUUCAUGGUUUCUUCCAAGUCACUCCAUUCUUUCUACCUCUAGUCUGCUUGAUCCAAAUCUGGGUGAUCCCAUAGGUAGACCCCCAGACUGUGGCUCAUCUGUUCUGUCCCAACGCUGGUUGCAGGAUCUCUCGGUCUGGGAUGCUGGUCUUUACGUUUCUUUUCCCAAACAGACCGCAGUUCCCUUGGGGACAAGAGGCUGACUUCCUUUCCCUGGUGUAUAGGUUUGCCCGGGCUGCUGUAACAAGUACCACAGGCUGGGCGGCUUAAACGGCAGACGUUCAUCUUGCGAUUCUGGAGGCUGGACGUGUGAGAUCAAGGUGGGCCUGGCUCUGCGGGGCAUCCUGGUGCUGCUGGCAGAAGCCCUGUGCCCGCUGCCCUGUCACUGCCACAGCGUUCCCUGUGGGCCGAAGUCUGGACACAGGGCUGUGCGUCUUCCUCCCUCGUUUCUGUAACAGAUCAGCUUGGUCUAUGCUUGCCUCCUGACUGAUCUCCAAGUCGGGACCUGGUCCUGGAGGACAUGUGCCCCCAGAAGGACUUUGAAGGGGCUUCAGGACAAAGAAAGAAGGGUUGGAGGGCAGCACUGCUGCCGGGCUCCGUCUUCCUCCAUCAGGCCUCAGCCUCUGCUUCCCUGGGGCCAUGGGCCUGGCUGCAGGUGUGGGUGUGAGUGCAGGUGUGGUGCAGGUGUGCGUGCAGGUGUGGGUGCAGGUGUGAGUGCAGGUGUGGUGCAGGUGUGGAUGUGGGUGUGUUAGUGUGAAUUCAGCUGUGGGUGUGGGUGUGGGUGCAGGUGUGGUGCAGGUGUGGGUGCGGGUGUGGUGCAGGUGUGCAUGCAGGUGUGGGUGCAGGUGUGGUGCAGGUGUGGGUGCAGGUAUGGGUGUGGGUGUGAGCUGAGCAACCCCUCUGGUUUCCACCACACCUCCAUCUCUGCUCACAGGCGGAGAAGCGCCUUUUUUCUCCGAAUGGAUGGUUUCACCUGGGCGCUCCUGGACAUGGGACGCCUCUUCUGCUUUCCUCUAAGCCUGGGGUCCUUGGUGUCUGGCUGUUCCCUGCGGUCCUAGUCGGGUCUUAGAACCUGGUUACAGGGAGGGUACCCCUUGGGCCAGGCCCCAGGUCUCAAAGCACCAGGCAUCUAGACACAGGAACUCUCUGACCCCACCACACACCCACUGACUCAGAAACUCUGCGUGGGCCCAGAUCUGGGGUUUUCUCAAGCCCCCCAGGUGCGUCUGAGCAGCUCAAGCCUGACACCCCUGCUAACACCUGGACUGAUCUCACCAGCGACUCCGGCCAUGGUCUCUCAUCAGCAGACGGGCCACUCCUGCUCUGUUCACAGGCAGGGCAGCGUUUGCUCAGCAGGUCAACAUCCCUGCUGACGUUGCCCCAGACCUGGCGAUCAUCUGCGUUCAGACAUUCCUCAGUCCUUUCCUGUAAUCUAAUAUUCGGGUUUAACAGCUCAACUUCCUCUUGCGAAACAACGUGAACUUCCCCAACCAGACAGAACAGGAACUGAAAUUAGUUGCUUUUGAUUUUUCAGUAACUGAUCCAACUUUUGAACUUUUUUAAACUUUGUACGUGAAAGUCUUCCAAACUGUGCUCAUCCGUCCAUUGUCACCUCUUCAGGCUCACCGUUUGUCGGCAUCUCAGAGGACAGGAGCAGAGAGGGCUUUUCAUCCUCUGGGAAAGCAUCGCUUUUCCUGGUCUCGUGUGGAUACGCCCACUUGGGGAUAUUUCACUUCCCACCGUGGACGUGACUCAUUUUCUCAUCCCGGUUGGACGCUCAGCUCCAUCUUCGGGGAUGCCGUGCAGGCUGCUUCCCUCCCGCUCCGUCCUCUCCACGGUCACAGAGCUCCGUAGCGCUGAGUCGUGCUGCCUCCUUCAAGGAGCCGGCUCCCCCAUGCUCUUCAUCACCAGGGACCCAUCUAACUGUCACUCAGUCUUCCAACCCAUCUUUGGCCUUUGACCCUGUUUCCCACUUCCUUCUUUGUGAAAAUCCAUCCCGUGGCCUUCUCACCUUCCUGCCUACACAGCCUCCCCAGGACCUACCCUUGAUCAUGGGGGUUUGCUUUUUUUAAAAAAUUUUGAUUGGAGUAUAGUUGCUUUACAAUGUUGUGUUAGUUUCUGCCAUACAGCAAAGUGGCUCAGUUAUACAGGUACAUAUAUCCACUCUUUUUUAGGUUUCCUUCCCAUUUAGGUCACCACAGAGCAUUGAGUACAGUUCCCUGUGCUGUAUAGUCGGUUCUCAUUAGUUAUAUUUUAUACAUAGUGUCAAUAGUGUAUAUAUGUCCAUCCCAAUCUCACAAUCAUCCCACACCCCCCUUUCCCAACUUGGUGUCCAUAAGUUUGUUCUUUACAUCUGUGUCUCUAUUUCUGCUUUGCAAAUAAGUUCAUCUGUACCAUUUUUAUAGAUUCCACAUAUAAGUGAUAUUAUACGAUAUUUGUUUUUCUCUUUCUGACUGACUUCACUCUGUAUGACAGUCUAGGUCUAUCCACAUCUCUGCAAAUGGCACUAUUUCGUUCCUUUUUAUGGCUGAGUAAUAUUCCAUUGUACGGGGGUUUGCUUUUUAAAUAAAUUGGCCAUACGUUUAAGUAUCCUAUAAGUCUUCGUGCCCUGAAACUUCUGUUGCAUAUAAAGUUACCUGGCUUUCCUUGGAAUAGAACUUGGGCUGCACUGUAAUCAAACCUAAAUCCUGACAAGAGUAGGCAUGUAAAAACAGACCUUCUUAAAGACUCUAGAAUUUCUGAUGGUCUGAAAAAUAAAGAAGAAACAAUGACUGUAUUGGGGCUACAGGAAGAUGGCGACGCCCAUCUCAGGAUUUUAAACCACUGCUGUAGCUGGACCCUUAGGCAACCAUUCAGGCUAAUCUCAAGAUUUCAUGGUUCCUGUAAAUUUCUUAGAUUACAUCACCAUGAGAUUUGGAGGCCUUACAGGGAAGAGACAAUCAGACAGUCCCACACGUGGACAGAGAUGGGGCAGCACACGCCAUCUUCAGGGUCCAGCGUGGGGCAUGUUGCCAGCCCCAGGACACCCCCUUGAAAUCUGGACCGCUGAGUCAGUGGUGGGGGCCUGAAAAGUUAACAAGAGGCAGAUUAACAGGAGGAAAGAAAGCAAGUUUUAUUCACACACAUGUGCGUCUGUUCAGAUGAAGGGGCUCCCUGAGCCGCUGGCUAUAGGGGUUUAUAUACCAACUUAGUAGGGGAAAGGGAGGGGCAGAAAGGGCUGCUCUGGGGAGACACAUGAGCCUUUACGGGGACACCUGGGAGGUGUGGCAACUGUGAUAAUGUUUCUUUGUGCAAUUUCUCAUCCCUGUGUGAGGGGUCAGUCUCCUUCCCCCAAGAGGGAAUAAAGUGCUGUCUUUAGCCAGAUAAAGGAAGCUCCAAAAAGGCUUCUUUCUGCAUCAGCUGUCUCCGGUUAAAAUACUCUUCAUACCCACUCCGUGAGGCUGAGUGGGUCCCUCCAGGACUAACAGAGACCUUGCUUAGGGUUUGACCAGAAGGACCACUCCUCAGGGGCGUCUGCUCCAGGCUCAAUGAGUUGUCUAAAUGAGAUCUCCAUGCCUCCAGAAGGCCAGAGUUUCGGCGUUUCCCCGUAAAAACAAGCAAAGAUUCCUGAGCUCUGUUCUGUGAUUUACUUUUCGUUUCCAAGGCUUAACGAUACAUACUUGCUGUGGACUGAAUAUUUGUGUCCCCACCCCCAAAUUCAUACGGUGAAAUCCUAACCCCAUGCAUGGUGUUGCUAUUAGGAGUUGGGACAUUGGGGGGAAGAUUGGGUUGUGAGGGUGGAGCCCUCAUGAAUGAGAUUAGUGCCCUUAUAAAAGGGACCCCAGAGAACUCCCAUCCCUCUUCCCCAUGUGAGGACACAGUCCGGCAAAUGCGGAAGUGGGCCUCACCAGACACUGAAUCUGCCAGCACCUUGAUCUUGGACUCCAGCCUCCAGAACUGUGAGACAUACAUUUCUGUUGUUUAUAAGACAUCCAGCCUGUAGCAUUCUGUUAUAGCUCCCUGAACGGACUAAGAUAAUAUGUUUUUUAGACUACCCAUGGGAAAUAAAUGUGUUUUCAUUUCCCAAAGGCUUACUAGAGUUUUGGACUGCAAUUGGAACUGAUGGGAAUCUGAAAACAGUGCUCUCCUCCUGUGAACCCACCAGAGGUAGGAGGGCUGCCCCUACCCCGUUGGCUGUCACCCAUCUUUAAAGAAAGGCACUGUGCCACUAAAACUCCGGUUUGAGACUCUCAUCAUUUAUAUUCAGUAAUUCAUCCACAGUGUGGCUCUCAACUAUUUUCAUACGUUAGCUUAUCAGAUUUUCGGUCCAUCCCCGGGCUGCCGUAUUUAUCUUGUCUUCUACCCCUCUUAUUUGAUUUAAUUCUCUAUUUGUCUGGCUCUAACUGACCAUCGGUAACUGUAUAUUAGAAGACAGAACGAGAAAAUCUUUUUCCAGGCACUAAUCUUUUAGAACCAUAUCUGAGAGUCAGCGAGGAGAGAGGCUCAGAUCUGCAUUCCAAUUGCUUUUUAUUCUUUCCAUGAGCAAGUUCUUUUUAUUGCACCACUGGACAAACAUUUCCGUAAGAGAUCCAGUUAUAAUGAUUAAGGAACUAAUUCUAACUUCAAGCUACUUGAAUAAAUAUUAACAUGGGUCUCAAAUAAUUUAGGGAAACUGUAAAGAACUAUUUAUAACCUGAAGCUAAUUUUUAAAAAUAACUUACCACCGGACUGAGUCUUAGGUUUUAAGAAGUGGGCAAACAUAGUGGGGUUCUACUUAAUUUUUAUUGUCUUGUUUGUGUUUUCCUGUAUUUUUCAUAUUUUCUAUAAUGAAUACACAUUACUUUUGAGAAGAGAAAAAGCAGAUCUAAACUUAAACUUAAAUUUGAACCUGGGAAAAUGGGAUGGACGUUUAUGGGAAGGACCAAACGAACAACUUAAAAUUCAUUGUUUACUUUUAACUGCGGUUAUAUUUCCUUGCACCGUUCAGAGUAUUUACUGGCUUUGGGAGUGGGGGUGGAGGAAAAGUAUGGUUAGUGAAGUGUGUUUAAACUGCCAUAUUGCAGUGCUAAUAUUCUGAAGUGUCACUGUUCUUAGGACUUUGCUCAGCACUUAUACAACAAUUCUUAACAACUACUGCUUGAUGAGGGUGAAAAUAUUAAAAAUGUAGGUUGAAGCAUAUGAAAUCGCUGGUGUUUGAGCUUUUGUGAGCUACUUUGGUAAAUUCACGGUACAUUUCUUGAGUGCACAAUUGGAGAAGUUUGACAAAUGUGUUCAGCGGUGGGACCGUCACCACAAUCCAGAUACUGAACAUGUCCGUCGCCCCAAACCCUCCUUGUGUCCUUGUCACCCUCCUGCCCCGCCCUCCACUGCAUAGAUAGCCCACCAUUUGUUCUCCAUUCACCUGUCGGGUAUUUGGGUAGUUUCCACUCUGCUACUACAAUAGAGCUGCCGUGACCGUCCAUACACGUCUUGGUGUGGACAUGUGCUUUCAUUUAUCUUGGGUAAAAGCCUGGAAAUUGAAUGGAUCAUACGGUAGGUACAUGUUUAACUUUUUUAAAAAAUGCCAAACUGCUUUCCCAAGUGCUUCUUGCAAUUAUGUUCCCAGUGGCAGUGGUUGAGAGCUCUAAUUUCUUCGGUCUUUUAAAUUGUGCCCAUUCUCGUGGGUACACAGGGGAACCGCACUCUGGUUUCGGUUCGUAUUUCCCUGCAGAUGUUGAGCAUAUUUUCGUGGGUGUUAUUGCUGUCUGUAGAUCUUCCUUGAUGAAAUGACGAUUCAGGACUUCCCUGGUGGCUCAGUGGUUGAGAAUCCGCCUGCCAAUACAGGGGACAUGGGUUCGAUACCUGGCCCGGGAAGAUCUCACAUGCCGCGGAGCAACUCAGCCCAUGAGCCACAACUACUGAGCCCGCGUGCCUAGAGCCCCUGCUCCGCAACAAGAGAAGCCACCGCAGUGAGAAGCCCGCGCACCGCAACGAAGAGUAGCCCCUGCUCGCCACAACUAGAAAAAGCCCACACGCACAGCAACGAAGACCCAGCGCAGCCAAAAAUAAAUAAAUAAACGCAUUAAAAAAGAAAUAAGAAAAAAAAGAAAUGACUACUCAGAUUUUUGCACAGGUAGUAGUAUUUUUUAAAAGCCCCGCAGAUGAUUGUAACGUGGGGAGAUGGUUGAGAGUCACCGAGAGCAGCCCAAGCUCCGCAAACACUAAUCCCCGUGGCAGCUUCUUGCGCCCUCUACUGGCGGUGGGGGGUAGUACCCUCCCUUACCCAGGUUCAAGGAGAGGGUGAAUCCCUCCAGAGCCCUGAGGACCCUUCUGGAGCCAACCUCAGCACGAAGCUUGUAGGGGAUGUCGAAGUGGAGAAGGAUGGCCGUCUCCUCCCUUCCUCACACACGCCUCCAUCGGUUAAGAAGGAAACUAUAGGCCUCAAAAGGAAUCAAUCGUGUUAGGCCCCAAGGCAGUAGAUCAAGACUUAAUACCUAACCCAAAUAGUUUCAGCUUUUCCUGGAAUGUGAUGUUUAACCGAUCAACCUGGCAUUUCCUGGUCAGCACUAGGGGGUAAUCUGACUGAUAGACCCACUCCAAUCCCCCCCACCCCGCCCGAGAAGGGUGACCUCACCUCCAACAAUGCAUUCUUUGUUAAUAAUCUUCCCUCCCCCACUCCCUGCCACCUUUAAAACCCUUUCCUUUCCUGCAGCUCAAUGAAGCUACUUUCUGCUUGCUAGAUGGGCUGCUGCUGGGUUCAUGAAUCGUUCAAUAAAGCCAGUUCGAUCUUUUAAAUUACUCAUUCACUUUUUGUUGUCUAACACGAUAAAGUUACAAAAGUGAUACAUGUGGUUUUUUGUUUGGUUGGUUUUGGGUUUUGGCCACACCCUGUGGCAUGUGGGAUAUUAGUUCCCCCACCAGGGAUCGAACCCGUGUCCCCUGCAGCAAAAGCUUGGAGUCUUAACCACUGGACCAUCAGGGAAGUCCCUAGAUGCAGUGUUGUGUUUCGUUUUGUUUUGCUUUUUACAUCAAAUGCAAAGUGUAAAUGUAACACUACCUUGAUACUUGCCCUGUCCAUGCUCAUCCGGAAGGGGUAUUGCCGUAAACAGUUGAGGGAAAUUUUUUUUUUUAAUUAAAAGAAAAUCAGUUGAGAGAAAUUUUAAUGAAGAAAGUAUGGACUUCCAUCUUUAUUCUCUCUUUCAAUUAAUAUGUGACCAUGGGCAAGGCUCUGGGUAUACUUAAUGCAUAAUUUCCUCAUCUGUAAAUGAAGUUAUUGCCUACUCUCCUUUUCUCAUGGGGUUUUAUGACAAUUAAAUGAUGUGUGUGAAAUGGAACAUUUACAAAAAUGUAUCUGUACUAAGUCUUGAUGGAAAUAUCAACAAUUGUCAAAGAAUUUAAAUUAUUCUUACCACAGCCUUCAAGUAAAACACAAGUUGAAAACAAACAAUAAAAAGAGAGUUUGAAAACCUAAAUGUUUGUAGCUUAGAAUGAAACACUCAUGAAUUAUGGAAGAAAGUAUAGUGGGGAAUCACAAAAUAUUUAGAACUGAACGUCAGUGGGCAGUUUAUUAAAGCUUGUGUGAUGCAGCAAAGGCCAUACUUAGAGGCAAAUUUAUAUCCUUCAAUGCAUUUAUUAAAAAGAAGAAACAUUUAAGAGAACUAACUUAAGAGUUUGUUUUGGGACUUCCCUACUGGUCCAGCGGUUAAGACUCUGGGCUUCCAAUGCAGGGGGCGCAGGUUCAAUCCCGGGGAACUAAGAUCCCAUAUGCUUCAUGGCAUGGCCAAAGAGGGGGGAAAAAAAAGAGGUUUCUUUUUAAAAGUUGAAAAAGGAACAGAAAGUAAUUUUUUUAAUCACAAGAUAAUUAAAAAUAGCAAAAAUUAAUAAAAGUAUAAUCAAAGUAGCAAUAGAAAGGGUGAAUAAAACUGAAAUCCAGCUUAAAAAAAAGAUUAUUAAUACUUCAAACUCUAGUAAGACUGACAAAGAAGAAAGAAUCACAAAUAAACUAGAUAUAGGAUGAAAGGGUGAUAUGGCUACAGACUAAAUUUAAAAUAAUAAGAAUACUAUACAUGUUUUAUACUAAUAUUUUGGAAGCUUGGAUGAAUAAAUGAUUUUCUGUAAAAACUAAAGUUGACUGAAUAAAAAAUGGAAACUAUAAAUAAAUUAAUAAUUAAAAAAAUUAAGCCAGUAGUCAAAAGUCACCCUCAAUCAAAAGAUACCAAGCUUGGCCUCAGAAAGACAGAUAACUCGUAUUUCAUAUAGACUAUAUGAAAAAGUAGAAAAAGAGGGGAAAUUACCCAAAUCAGUUUGUGAGGCUGGUAUAGGCUUGAAUACAGAGUACAAGGAAUGUGAACUAUUGACCAAUAUCACUUGUGACUAUAGGUGUAAACUCAUAAAUAAAGUAUCAGCAAAGGAAAUUCAGCAAUGUAUAAAAACACUAAUGCACCAUGACAAGGUAGUUUAGCCCAGGAUUACAAUAUGUUGUGAAUCAGAAGAUGUAUUGUUGUAAUCCACUGCAAUAAUAGAAUAAAGGACAAAAAACAUAUGAUCACUUUAACAGUUACAGAAAUAUUGUCUGAGAAAAGUCAAUAAUCAUUUGUGAUUUUUUUUAAAAAGUUUUAACAAACGUGGAAUCAAAGGGAUUUUCCUUACCCUGAAGAAAAAGGUAUUUUUCAGAAGCAAACAUCACACUUCCUAUUUUAACUUUAAAAGCAUUUCCAUUCAAGUAAAAGUAAGGCAAGGUCAUUUGUUAUAACCCCUAUGAUUCUUCAAGGGCAUCCUGGCAAAUACAGCAAGAAAAAAAGAAAACUAAGAGUUAACAGAAACUGGAAAGGAAGAUGCAAAUCUUGUUAUUAUCUGGAGAUGAUAUAAUUGCAUAUGUAGAAAAUCUGAGAUAAUUGACAGAGAAAUAAUGGUUUUGUUGGAAGUAAUAUCUAUGCUACAAAAAACUCAAUAGCAUGUUAUCAUCAACCAUAAAUAUUUAUAAAAUGGAAUAGAAAAAGAUGCCAUUAUUCAUACAUCAAAAGUUACCAAAAAUAAAUAUAAUACAGGAUAUAUGAGACUUUUAUGGAGAAAAGUAUAAUCAUUGUUGAAAGACAUUUUCAAAGAUACAAAUAAAUGGAGAGUCAUGUUAUGACUUACGCAUGAAAUAAAGCUGAAAAUGAUGAA